AGUGAACGCUGGCGGUAGGCCUAACACAUGCGAGUCGAACGGCAGCACAGUAAGAGCUUGCUCUUACGGGUGGCGAGUGGCGGACGGGUGAGGAAUACAUCGGAAUCUACUUUUUCGUGGGGGAUAACGUAGGGAAACUUACGCUAAUACCGCAUACGACCUACGGGUGAAAGCAGGGGAUCUUCGGACCUUGCGCGAUUGAAUGAGCCGAUGCCGGAUUAGCUAGUUGGCGGGGUAAAUGCCCACCAAGGCGACGAUCCGUAGCUGGACUGAGAGGAUGAUCAGCGACACUAGAACUGAGACACGGUCCAGGCUCCUGCGGGAGGCAGCAGUGUGGAAUGUUGGACAAUAGGCGCGAACAUGAUCCAGCCAUACCACGUGUGUGAAAAAGACCUUCGGGUUGUGAAGCCGUUUUGUUGGGAAAGAACCGCAGCAGGUUAAUACCCCGCUGUUCUGACGGUACCCAAAGAAGAAGCACCGGCUAACUUCGUG
rnacentral:rRNA from 1 species